UGCUUCGGUAACUGAGCUAGCGGCGGACGGGUGAGUAAAGCUUAGGAAUCUGCCUAUUAGUGGGGGACAACAUUUCGAAAGGGAUGCUAAUACCGCAUACGUCCUACGGGAGAAAGCAGGGGAUCACUUGUGACCUUGCGCUAAUAGAUGAGCCUAAGUCGGAUUAGCUAGUUGGGGGGGUAAAGGCCUACCAAGGCGACAAUCUGUAGCGGGUCUGAAAGGAUGAUCCGCCACACUGGGACUGAAACACGGCCCAAACUCCUACGGGAGGCAGCAGUGGGGAAUAUUGGACAAUGGGGGGAACCCUGAUCCAGCCAUGCCGCGUGUGUGAAGAAGGCCUUUUGGUUGUAAAGCACUUUAAGUGGGGAGGAGGCUCUCUUGGUUAAUACCUGAGAGGAGUGGACGUUACCCACAGAAUAAGCACCGGCUAACUCUGUG
rnacentral:rRNA from 1 species